rnacentral:rRNA from 1 species
CUCAGAAACUUAAAGGAAGUUGACGGGGCCCGCACAAGCGGUGGAGUAUGUGGUUUAAUUCGAUGCAACGCGAAGAACCUUACCUGGUCUUGACAUCCCGGAGACCCUUAGGAAACUAGGGGGUGCUUCCAUCUGGAAGAAUCUGGAGACAGGUGCUGCAUGGCUGUCGUCAGCUCGUGUCGUGAGAUGUUGGGUUAAGUCCCGCAACGAGCGCAACCCUUGCCUUUAGUUGCCAGCAGUUCGGCUGGGCACUCUAAAGGGACUGCCGGUGUUAAACCGGAGGAAGGUGGGGAUGACGUCAAGUCCUCAUGGCCUUUAUGACCAGGGCUACACACGUACUACAAUGGCCGAUACAAAGGGCAGCGACACUGCGAGGUGAAGCCAAUCCCGUAAAAUCGGUCUCAGUCCGGAUUGGAGUCUGCAACUCGACUCCAUGAAGUUGGAAUCGCUAGUAAUCGUGGAUCAGCAUGCCACGGUGAAUACGUUCCCGGGCCUU